rnacentral:misc_RNA from 1 species
UCCGAGUUGACCCCGGCAGUCUCCCAUGAGUCCCCGCCAUUACGCGCUGGCAACAUGGAACAAGGGUUCCGCUCGUUGCGGGACUUAACCCAACAUCUCACGACACGAGCUGACGACAACCAUGCACCACCUGUGCACCAGUCCGAAGAAAGCCACAUUUCUGCAGCCGUCCGGUGCAUGUCAAGCCUUGGUAAGGUUCUUCGCGUUGCAUCGAAUUAAUCCGCAUGCUCCGCCGCUUGUGCGGGCCCCCGUCAAUUCCUUUGAGUUUCGGUCUUGCGACCGUACUCCCCAGGCGGAGUGUUUCACGCGUUAGCUGGGCCCCUGAUCCACGUAGACCAAGGGCGAACACUCAUCGUUUACGGCAUGGACUAC